rnacentral:rRNA from 1 species
CCUACGGGUGGCAGCAGUGAGGAAUAUUGGUCAAUGGGCGCGAGCCUGAACCAGCCAAGUAGCGUGAAGGAUGACUGCCCUACGGGUGGUAAACUUCGGUUAUAAAGGAAUAAAGUGAGGCACGUGUGCCGUUUUGUAUGUACUUUAUGAAUAAGGAUCGGCUAACUCCGUGCCAGCAGCCGCGGUAAUACGGAGGAUCCGAGCGUUAUCCGGAUUUAUGGGGUUUAACGGGAGCGUAGAUGGGUUGUUAAGUCAGUUGGGAAAGUUUGCGGCUCAACCGUAAAAUUGCAAUUGAGACGGGCAGUCUUGCGUACAGUUGAGGUAGGCGGAAUUCGUGGUGUAGCGGUGACCUGCUUAGCUAUCACG